CAGCCUUCUGCAGGCGCCCGAGCUGAGGUGUCGGCGCGGCCGCUCCUCACUUAAAACUCUGGUCUGAGCCGCCGGGUCGGAGGCCUCUGCUCGAGGCACCGUGUGAGCAAGUGAGACUGGACUAAACACAGAGGGAAAAAAAAAAGGUGCUGUUGGUAUCUUUGAGGGAAUUAUACAUCACCCCCUUCUCCAUCUAAGUUUUGGAUUGGCUGGAAAAUAAGAUACGGAGAGUCACGAUGGGAAAACUGAAGUAUCACCAUCAGAGGCUAGGAUGUGGGACUAGAAGGUGAAGGUUGAUGUCUGUGCCCAGGUGGGUGAACACCUCCCUUUCCCUCUGUUGAGUCCUCAGACAGCCCUCCUGAGAGAAACUCAGAGUCUUCAGAGCAUCUACACUCAACCAGAUGGCUGUUUCUGCUGGACGAGGUGGAGGAGGAAGAGGACAGAUUCCACCGUCCUCCGUCUGCACUGGAAUCUUUGAGAGUUUAGCUCCACACGGUGGAGACUUGAACCAAACUAGCAGGCAACCUGCUAAGAGACCGCAAAGACAGAAAACCAUCUCACCUGUCACACAGCCGAGCAGAUACAGCACAGUACUUCCCUCAGGGAAUUUGAUACGCUUCUGAAGGUAAGAUUGAGACUCCCAAAGGGCAUACUCACAAAAGUAUGCCAUCACUUUCCUUAAAAGAGGUGGCAUCCGUGAGCUCUAGGGGUAAUGUUUUGCUAACCAGAG